ACCACCCUCACCCCCCCACCUCUGCCCUUCCAUGAGCCAGGAGGACCAUAUAGCACCUCUUGCCUCUGCCUACAGGAGCCUUUCAAGAAAUGACAUGCUAGAGCACUCUCAUCUUCCUUGGAUGGUUAAUUUCUCUGUACUUCAGGUAUUGCUUCUUGCGAUCUUGUCCCUUGUUGGUCUACUGAUAUCUCAGAAGUUACAGCCCUUUGGGAAGAUUUUUAUUUAAUAUAAGAUAUUUUCAGUGCGUGGUUCAUUUCGAAACAAACCAAACCAGAAAAGGCUGAACAGAGCUGAAGCUGGAAUCUAAGUCCAAGUUAAUGAAGCUGCCUCAAAGUUGAGGAGGAAGAGAAUAAACCACAGCUCUGAGGCACAGACCACUGGAGAUUCCUCCUUCAAACCCUGCCUUUGCCGCUCACUGGAGUUAUUUGAUUUGGGAACAAGAUAAGAAUUCACAAUAUCUGAUUUGUAGAAAUAACCUGGAGGAAGAAAAACAAUCAGAAAUAUUAAUUUCAGAUAUAAUUUUCAUCUCUCAGUUUCCUAAUAGUCUUUCCCAGCUCUAAUAACAUUAACCAAAUAUAAAGUCCAGACUUUGGGGAAGUUGUGUACUGACUGACAAAUACAUCUCCAAAUAGUCCACAGUUCAGCACUUCUUAUUCUGUUAAUACUCCGUGACCAGGAAAGGUUCGGAGCAUAAUUCUCUUCCAGUUAUUCAUGUUCUCCCUUUCUCAUUUUUUUUUUUCUCCCAGCAAGAAAUACACCUGGAUAUUCAUUGUGUGCAAACUGUUGCAGUUCCUUGUGGUAACCUGCAAAUCAAACUGAUAGAGCAGAAGAACUGCUGUCACACCAAGGGCUGUACAGCCAAAUGCAGGUGUUAUGGCUGCUAUUGCCCUUAAGAGAUGGGGUGUGAGGAACAAUUCAGCCUGCUUGAUAGUCAGCUCUACCCAGUCCUUGGCUAGAGUUGACAGAGAAAAGUACCCAGCAUCUUUAAAUUAGGCAAAGUCUUUGCUAUAAAUGUCUAACAAUGGCAGUGGAGCAAUUCUAAUUAUUGGCUGUACAGGUGUUGUCUUUCUUCAGUGCUGGUAACAUAUCGUUGUAAGGCAGUGGGCAUAUAUUUAUGGCUCACUUCUUCACACACUCAAAAUUUGGGCUUCAGAUUUGUAUUGAUUAAAGUCAGAGUGGUGUGUGUGAGGGUAGGGCCACUGUGCAGUUUAUCCAUUGUGUCACCCCAGGAAGCAGUGGUGCAGCCAGGGUGUUUGGUGUGUUCCUUGAUGGUGACCCCCUACAGCCAAGGAGGACCAGGAGGCAGCUACAGACAACCCAAGGAAGGUUUGUGGGGUGGAUAUGUGUCCUACAGAAAACAGUGGGAGGGGAGACCAUGGCUUCCCAAGCUGAACACACUGUGGAUAUUGCCUGUGGUGACUGUAGUCACACCCUUGCUCUGAAAAUGAGACAUCACUUCCUCUUCAAAGGUUCAGAUGCCUGUGCUGCCUGUAGCUACACAUUCAAAAUUUCAGCUUCAAAUUUUGUGUUGAUUACAAUUAUUUAUUAGUAUUAAAUUUUAAUAAUUAUUCUAGAGUCUUGUUCUGCAUGCCUUCACAAGAAUUUAAUUGUCUUCAGCAGGCCAUUUUAAUACGUUAGUGUUUUAGCAUGUAAUCAUAAUAAUUUAUUGUGUUAAAGUGUUGAGACUGCAGCUAGGAGAAAUGUAUAUUUAGGCUGAUAAGAAAGGGAAAGCUUCAACUUGGAAUAUGGUUGAUUAUAAAAAUAAAAGAUGUCUCUAAUGUAGCACUUAUUUCUAAGCUUCCUCUUCCUAUUCCUGACUUUUUUCAUCAGCGCUUCUCAUAAUUUAUUCACAUCCAUGUACACAGUCCUUUGUUACUGCAUGAAAAACCUACACAAAUGUGGUUUACUGAUUACACAAAGGAGGAAGUGAAAUUCUUGUCAAAUGCUUAGAGAAAUCAAAUUAAAAGAGUUGUCAUUUUGCCUUACUGACUUAGUAUUGUUCCCUUUCAUAACAAAGGAUAAAAAUGUGAUUUUGAAAUGGUUGUGUUCCUUUGCAUGGUAUAUUGAUUUCUGUAUAGAUAUGCUUAUUUAC